GUGCUUGCUUCGGCAGCACAUAUACUAAAAUUGGAACGAUACAGAGAAGAUUAGCAUGGCCCCUGCACAAGGAUGACACACAAAUUCGUGAAGUGUUCCAUAUUUUU
ensembl:snRNA U6 U6 spliceosomal RNA